UGGGGAAUAUUGCACAAUGGGGGAAACCCUGAUGCAGCGACGCCGCGUGGGUGAAGAAGUAUUUCGGUAUGUAAAGCCCUAUCAGCAGGGAAGAAAAUGACGGUACCUGAUCAAGAAGCCCCGGCUAACUACGUGCCAGCAGCCGCGGUAAUACGUAGGGGGCAAGCGUUAUCCGGAUUUACUGGGUGUAAAGGGAGCGUAGACGGCUUUGCAAGUCUGAUGUGAAAGGCAGGGGCUCAACCCCUGGACUGCAUUGGAAACUGUGGGGCUUGAGUGCCGGAGGGGUAAGCGGAAUUCCUAGUGUAGCGGUGAAAUGCGUAGAUAUUAGGAGGAACACCAGUGGCGAAGGCGGCUUACUGGACGGUAACUGACGUUGAGGCUCGAAAGCGUGGGGAGCAAACAGGAUUAGAUACC
rnacentral:rRNA from 1 species